rnacentral:rRNA from 1 species
GGUGAAUACGUUCCCGGGCCUUGUACACACCGCCCGUCACACCACGAAAGUCGGCAACACCCGAAGCCGGUGGCCCAACCGUAAGGAAGGAGCCGUCGAAGGUGGGGUCGGUGAUUGGGGUGAAGUCGUAACAAGGUAGCCGUACCGGAAGGUGCGGCUGGAUCACCUCCUUUCUAAGGAG